rnacentral:rRNA from 1 species
GAUGAACGCUAGCGGCAGGCCUAAUACAUGCAAGUCGGACGGGAUUCAGGAGCUUGCUUCUGAUGAGAGUGGCGCACGGGUGCGUAACACGUAUGUAACCUACCUUUAUCAGGGGGAUAGCCUCUCGAAAGAGAGAUUAAGCCCGCAUAAAAUCACAGCACAGCAUUGUGUAAUGAUCAAAUAUUUAUAGGAUAAAGAUGGGCAUGCGGAACAUUAGCUAGAUGGCGGGGUAACGGCCCACCAUGGCGACGAUGUUUAGGGGAUCUGAGAGGAUGGCCCCCCACACUGGUACUGAGACACGGACCAGACUCCUACGGGAGGCAGCAGUAAGGAAUAUUGGUCAAUGGGCGGAAGCCUGAACCAGCCAUGCCGCGUGCAGGAAGACGGCCCUACGGGUUGUAAACUGCUUUUAUACGGGAAUAAACUCAGAUACGGGUAUCUGGCUGAAUGUACUGUAAGAAUAAGGAUCGGCUAACUCCGUG